rnacentral:rRNA from 1 species
GAUGAACGCUGGCGGCGUGCCUAAUACAUGCAAGUCGAGCGAACGGACGAGAAGCUUGCUUCUCUGAUGUUAGCGGCGGACGGGUGAGUAACACGUGGAUAACCUACCUAUAAGACUGGGAUAACUUCGGGAAACCGGAGCUAAUACCGGAUGAUAUUUUGAACCGCAUGGUUCAAAAGUGAAAGACGGUCUUGCUGUCACUUAUAGAUGGAUCCGCGCUGCAUUAGCUGGUUGGUAAGGUAACGGCUUACCAAGGCAACGAUGCAUAGCCGACCUGAGAGGGUGAACGGCCACACUGGAACUGAGACACGGUCCAGACUCCUACGGGAGGCAGCAGUAGGGAAUCUUCCGCAAUGGGCGAAAGCCUGACGGAGCAACGCCGCGUGAGUGAUGAAGGUCUUCGGAUCGUAAAACUCUGUUAUUAGGGAAGAACAUAUGUGUAAGUAACUGUGCACAUCUUGACGGUACCUAAUCAGAAAGCCACGGCUAACUACGUG